rnacentral:lncRNA from 1 species
UAAGGAAAAAACCACCUACAGAUAUUUUAUUUCUUUGCUGAUUUGCUUUGUGAGCAUAUAGUGGCUUAUACGCAUAAAAUUUAUUUCCUAAAUAAUAUACUUGGAUGCAUUUGAAUCAUGUCAAUUGUAGAUGUAUACUUAGUAAGCAUUCCAUUACCACACUUGUCAAAUAUCUAACAGAUAAGUACUGUAUUUGAUUAGAAUACAUUAUGCAACAAACCACUCCCCUGAAGUUAGAGAAUCUUAAAGCAGGGCCUGAAAAACAUAUAUUAUAUGUAGUUUCCUAGAGCAAAAUAAGACAUUAGAAAUAAACUGAGAAAUCUGAAUAAUG